rnacentral:rRNA from 1 species
UACGAAGGGGGCUAGCGUUGCUCGGAAUCACUGGGCGUAAAGCGCACGUAGGCGGAUUGCUAAGUCAGGGGUGAAAUCCUGGAGCUCAACUCCAGAACUGCCUUUGAUACUGGCGAUCUCGAGUCCGGGAGAGGUGAGUGGAACUGUGAGUGUAGAGGUGAAAUUCGUAGAUAUUCGCAAGAACACCAGUGGCGAAGGCGGCUCACUGGCCCGGUACUGACGCUGAGGUGACGAAAGCGUGGGGAGCAAACAGG